CUCCUCCCGGCAUUGUCCCGCGGCCGCCGUCGGGCUCUUAAGCCCGGCCGCCCUGGGGCACGGCCGCAGCAGCUCUUCCGCGGCCCUCGCCCUGCUGUAAAGCUGGACACUGGAACCCUUCAUCCUCAUGUUUGCAUGGUCUUGAGAGGGGCGUGGAUAAAAGCGUGCAUCCUCUUCGGAACCCACAGUGAUUUUGUCCAAGGAUGUUGGAGCAACAUUGGCACAACCCACCACAUGGUGCUGGCUGGAAGGAGCCGUGCAGGAGCACUGUGAAGAGACUUUCCAGGAAUGUUUCUGCAUGGAAAGCCAACACGUCUGCCUUGCAGGACUGAGGGAAGGAGGAGGGAUGGUGACUUGAUCGGUGAAGUCAGUGUGAGACUUCCCAUUGAUUCCAGCGGGUGCCGACCUCUAUGGGCUGAGACAGCAGCCUCAGCAUUGAGCUUGAACCUCACACAAUGGGACCCUUAUCCACAGUGAGGCCACAAAAUGCUGUUGCAUCC
ensembl:lncRNA